GUGCAUCGUGGGUAACAUCGCCCAUGAGAUUCUCCACGCUCUGGGCUUCCAACACGAGCACACGAGGAUGGACCGAGAGGAACACAUCACCGUCAUGUCGCACAACAUCAUGUCAGGGAUGGAGAAGAACUUCCAGAAGAAAUCUGGAGAGACGUUUGGACUUCCUAUGACAUCACCUCCAUCAUGCACUACGGCAGUGCCUUUUUCUCGGCCAACCAUCUGCCCACCAUCGUGUCAAAAGGUGAGGAGACGAAGAUGAGGAUGGGACAGAGAGACAGACUGACGGAGAGAGACAUCGAGAGAGUCGCACGGCUGUACGGCUGCGACGUCACAAAAAGCAAAUGAUGAGCGGUGAGGGAGGUAAAGAGGAGGACUUGAACAUCAACACAUGCCCUUUGUUCAUCUGCAGCCCUGCAGCAGCCCACCACCGCCACAGGAGGGCGCCACAGCACCAGCUGAGAGACUGAACUGAACCUUUUAUGAAUAAAAACAACAGACCUGCAUGUGA